rnacentral:rRNA from 1 species
UACGUAGGGUGCGAGCGUUGCCCGGAUUUAUUGGGCGUAAAGGGCGCGUAGGCGGCCACGCACGUCCGUUGUGAAAUCGCCCGGCUCAACUGGGCGGGGUCAGCGGAUACGGUGUGGCUCGAGCAAGCUAGGGGGGCAAUGGAAUUCCCGGUGUAGUGGUGGAAUGCGUAGAUAUCGGGGAGGAACACCAGUGGCGAAGGCGGUUGCCUGGAGCUUUGCUGACGCUGAGGCGCGAAA